rnacentral:rRNA from 1 species
GACGAACGCUGGCGGCGUGCUUAACACAUGCAAGUCGAACGGAAAGGCCCUGCUUGCCGGGUACUCGAGUGGCGAACGGGUGAGUAACACGUGGGUGAUCUGCCCUGCACUUCGGGAUAAGCCUGGGAAACUGGGUCUAAUACCGGAUAGGAGCCAUUUUUAGUGUGAUGGUUGGAAAGUUUUUUCGGUGUAGGAUGAGCUCGCGGCCUAUCAGCUUGUUGGUGGGGUAAUGGCCUACCAAGGCGGCGACGGGUAGCCGGCCUGAGAGGGUGGACGGCCACAUUGGGACUGAGAUACGGCCCAGACGCCUACGGGAGGCAGCAGGGGGGAAUAUUGCACAAUGGGCGCAAGCCUGAUGCAGCGACGCCGCGUGGGGGAGGACGGCCUUCGGGUUGUAAACUCCUUUCGCUAGGGACGAAGCUUUUUGUGACGGUACCUAGAGAAGAAGCACCGGCUAACUACGUG